GACAGAGGGCGCGAGCGUUGUUCGGAAUUACUGGGCGUAAAGCGCACGUAGGCGGACUCUUAAGUCAGGGGUGAAAUCCUGGAGCUCAACUCCAGAACUGCCUUUGAUACUGAGGAGCUUGAGUCCGGGAGAGGUGAGUGGAACUGCGAGUGUAGAGGUGAAAUUCGUAGAUAUUCGCAAGAACACCAGUGGCGAAGGCGGCUCACUGGCCCGGUACUGACGCUGAGGUGCGAAAGCGUGGGGAGCAAACAGG
rnacentral:rRNA from 1 species